rnacentral:misc_RNA from 1 species
GCCUGUUCGAGCGUCAUUAUAACCACUCAAGCCUAGCUUGGUAUUGGGGUUCGCGUGCUCGCGGCCCUUAAAAUCAGUGGCGGUGCGUCUGGCUCUAAGCGUAGUAAUUCUCUCGCUAUGGAGUCCCGGCGGUUACCUGCCAGAACCCCCCAUUUUUUAAGGUUGACCUCGGAUCAGGUAGGGAUACCCGCUGAACUUAA